rnacentral:rRNA from 1 species
UUUUCAGCCGCCGCGGUAAUACGGGGGGGGCAAGCGUUGUUCGGAAUUACUGGGCGUAAAGGGCGCGUAGGUGGCCUGCUAAGUCGGACGUGAAAUCCCUCGGCUCAACCGGGGAACUGCGUCCGAUACUGGCGAGCUCGAAUCCGGGAGAGGGAUGUGGAAUUCCAGGUGUAGCGGUGAAAUGCGUAGAUAUCUGGAGGAACACCUGUGGCGAAAGCGUCGCACUGGACCUCUUCUGACGCUGAUGCGCGAAAGCUAGGGUAGCGAACGGGAUUAGAUACCCGCGUAGUCC